UACGUAGGGGGCAAGCGUUGUCCGGAAUCAUUGGGCGUAAAGCGCGUGUAGGCGGCCCGAUAAGUCCGCUGUGAAAGUCCAGGGCUCAACCCUGGGAUGCCGGUGGAUACUGUCGGGCUCGAGUCCGGAAGAGGCGAGUGGAAUUCCUGGUGUAGCGGUGAAAUGCGCAGAUAUCAGGAGGAAUACCGAUGGCGAAGGCAGGUCUCUGGGCUGACACUGACGCUCAUGCACGAAAGCGUGGGGAGCCAACAGG
rnacentral:rRNA from 1 species